rnacentral:rRNA from 1 species
AUACGUAGGUGGCAAGCGUUGUCCGGAUUUAUUGGGGCGUAAAGCGAGCGCAGGCGGUUUUUUAAGUCUGAUGUGAAAGCCUUCGGCUCAACCGAAGAAGUGCAUCGGAAACUGGGAAACUUGAGUGCAGAAGAGGACAGUGGAACUCCAUGUGUAGCGGUGAAAUGCGUAGAUAUAUGGAAGAACACCAGUGGCGAAGGCGGCUGCCUGGUCUGUAACUGACGCUGAGGCUCGAAAGUAUGGGUAGGC